rnacentral:rRNA from 1 species
AGUGAACGCUGGCGGUAGGCCUAACACAUGCAAGUCGAACGGCAGCACAGAGGAGCUUGCUCCUUGGGUGGCGAGUGGCGGACGGGUGAGGAAUACAUCGGAAUCUACUCUGUCGUGGGGGAUAACGUAGGGAAACUUACGCUAAUACCGCAUACGACCUACGGGUGAAAGCAGGGGAUCUUCGGACCUUGCGCGAUUGAAUGAGCCGAGGUCGGAUUAGCUAGUUGGCGGGGUAAAGGCCCACCAAGGCGACGAUCCGUAGCUGGUCUGAGAGGAUGAUCAGCCACACUGGAACUGAGACACGGUCCAGACUCCUACGGGAGGCAGCAGUGGGGAAUAUUGGACAAUGGGCGCAAGCCCGAUCCAGCCAUACCGCGUGGGUGAAGAAGGCCUUCGGGUUGUAAAGCCCUUUUGUUGGGAAAGAAAUCCAUCUGGUUAAUACCCGGGUGGGAUGACGGUACCCAAAGAAUAAGCACCGGCUAACUUCGUGCCAGCCGCCGCAGUAA